rnacentral:rRNA from 1 species
UAAGGAAUAUUGGUCAAUGGGCGCAAGCCUGAACCAGCCAUGCCGCGUGAAGGAUGACGGCCCUAUGGGUUGUAAACUUCUUUUGUACGGGAAAAAACCACCGGUCGUGCAUCGGUGCUGAUGGUACCGUAAGAAUAAGCAUCGGCUAACUCCGUGCCAGCAGCCGCGGUAAUACGGAGGAUGCAAGCGUUAUCCGGAUUCAUUGGGUUUAAAGGGUGCGCAGGCGGAAUAAUAAGUCAGCGGUGAAAGCCUACAGCUUAACUGUAGAACUGCCAUUGAUACUGUUAUUCUUGAGUGUUGUUGAGGUAGGCGGAAUGUGUCAUGUAGCGGUGAAAUGCUUAGAUAUGACACAGAACACCGAUCGCGAAGGCAGCUUACCAAGCAACAACUGACGCUCAUGCACGAAAGCGUGGGGAUCAAACA